rnacentral:rRNA from 1 species
AGAGUUUGAUCCUGGCUCAGGAUGAACGCUAGCGGCAGGCUUAACACAUGCAAGUCGAGGGGUAUAGUUCUUCGGAACUAGAGACCGGCGCACGGGUGCGUAACGCGUAUGCAAUCUACCUUUCACAGAGGGAUAGCCCAGAGAAAUUUGGAUUAAUACCUCAUAGUAUAAUGAGUUGGCAUCAACACAUUAUUAAAGUCACAACGGUGAAAGAUGAGCAUGCGUCCCAUUAGCUAGAUGGUAAGGUAACGGCUUACCAUGGCAACGAUGGGUAGGGGUCCUGAGAGGGAGAUCCCCCACACUGGUACUGAGACACGGACCAGACUCCUACGGGAGGCAGCAGUGAGGAAUAUUGGACAAUGGGCGCAAGCCUGAUCCAGCCAUGCCGCGUGCAGGAUGACGGUCCUAUGGAUUGUAAACUGCUUUUGUACAGGAAGAAACACUGGUUCGUGAACCAGCUUGACGGUACUGUAAGAAUAAGGAUCGGCUAACUCCGUGCCAGCAGCCGCGGUAAUACGGAGGAUCCAAGCGUUAUCCGGAAUCAUUGGGUUUAAAGGGUCCGUAGGCGGUUUAGUAAGUCAGUGGUGAAAGCCCAUCGCUCAACGGUGGAACGGCCAUUGAUACUGCUAAACUUGAAUUAUUAGGAAGUAACUAGAAUAUGUAGUGUAGCGGUGAAAUGCUUAGAGAUUACAUGGAAUACCAAUUGCGAAGGCAGGUUACUACUAAUGGAUUGACGCUGAUGGACGAAAGCGUGGGUAGCGAACAGGAUUAGAUACCCUGGUAGUCCACGCCGUAAACGAUGGAUACUAGCUGUUGGAAGCAAUUUCAGUGGCUAAGCGAAAGUGAUAAGUAUCCCACCUGGGGAGUACGUUCGCAAGAAUGAAACUCAAAGGAAUUGACGGGGGCCCGCACAAGCGGUGGAGCAUGUGGUUUAAUUCGAUGAUACGCGAGGAACCUUACCAAGGCUUAAAUGUAGAUUGACCGGUUUGGAAACAGA